UUCGGGUUGUAAACCUCUUUCAGCAGGGAAGAAGCGAGAGUGACGGUACCUGCAGAAGAAGCGCCGGCUAACUACGUGCCAGCAGCCGCGGUAAUACGUAGGGCGCAAGCGUUGUCCGGAAUUAUUGGGCGUAAAGAGCUCGUAGGCGGCUUGUCGCGUCGGUUGUGAAAGCCCGGGGCUUAACCCCGGGUCUGCAGUCGAUACGGGCAGGCUAGAGUUCGGUAGGGGAGAUCGGAAUUCCUGGUGUAGCGGUGAAAUGCGCAGAUAUCAGGAGGAACACCGGUGGCGAAGGCGGAUCUCUGGGCCGAUACUGACGCUGAGGAGCGAAAGCGUGGGGAGCGAACAGGAUUAGAUACCCUGGUAGUCCAAGGGCGAA
rnacentral:rRNA from 1 species